rnacentral:snRNA from 2 species
GUUUAUUCGGGGACAUUCUAUAAAAUUGGAACGAUAUAGAGAAGAUUAGUAUGCCCCUAUGCAAGGAUGUCACACACAAAUUGAGAAAUGAUCCAAUUUUUU